UGUAAGCGUAUACCAAAGUUGUUGCAGUUAAAACGCUCGUAGUCGGACUUUGGCAGUUCCGGAUGUGUGCACGUCGUGUGCGCACUUCGCGGGGAUUGCUUUUGUGGUCUUGCGUAGGAUGAGGCACUUUUAUUAGUGAACGUCCUCACGCAACCACUUUUUACUGUGAGAAAAUCAGAGUGCUCAAAGCAGGCAUUUGCCGUGAAUGUAUUAGCAUGGAAUAAUAGAAUGGGACUUGGUUCUAUUUUGUUGGUUUGUUGGGACUGAGUAAUGAUUAAGAGGGACAGUUGGGGGCAUUUGUAUUUCGGUGCUAGAGGUGAAAUUCUUAGAUUACCGAAAGACAAACUGCUGCGAAAGCGUCUGCCAAGGAUGUUUUCAUUGA
rnacentral:rRNA from 1 species